rnacentral:lncRNA from 1 species
GUGAGCCACGGCGCCCGGCCACUAAAAGGUUUUUAUGGGGUAUAUAAAGCAUGAUUGUUUUAUUUUACUUUUGGGUGUGCAACACUGUCUAGAAUGGUCAGUCUGUAGACGUUGAAGAGACAUUGCCAUCUGAACCAGAAAAUGGAGCUCUUUUGCGAUCAGAGAGAUACCAAGGACCUAGAAGACGCGCAUGCUCAGAGACCCCUGCAGAGUCCCGCACAGCUGUCCUCCAGCAGAGAAGAGCCGCUCAGCUACCUGGUGGCUCUGCUAUGGCAGGGGAGCAGAGGGCGUCGCCAAGCAAAGCCAAGCUCAAGGAGUUCCUCCAGCAGUGUGACCGGGAGGAGCUGGUGGAAUUGGCUCUGCCUCAGCUGGCUCAGGUUGUGACCGUGUAUGAGUUUCUUCUGAUGAAGGUUGAAAAAGAUCAUCUAGCAAAGCCUUUUUUCCCAGCUAUAUAUAAGGAAUUUGAAGAGUUGCAUAAAAUGGUUA